rnacentral:rRNA from 1 species
GACGAACGCUGGCGGCGUGCUUAACACAUGCAAGUCGAACGGAAAGGCCCUGCUUUUGUGGGGUGCUCGAGUGGCGAACGGGUGAGUAACACGUGAGUAACCUGCCCUUGACUUUGGGAUAACUUCAGGAAACUGGGGCUAAUACCGGAUAGGAGCUCCUGCUGCAUGGUGGGGGUUGGAAAGUUUCGGCGGUUGGGGAUGGACUCGCGGCUUAUCAGCUUGUUGGUGGGGUAGUGGCUUACCAAGGCUUUGACGGGUAGCCGGCCUGAGAGGGUGACCGGCCACAUUGGGACUGAGAUACGGCCCAGACUCCUACGGGAGGCAGCAGUGGGGAAUAUUGCACAAUGGGCGGAAGCCUGAUGCAGCAACGCCGCGUGCGGGAUGACGGCCUUCGGGUUGUAAACCGCUUUCGCCUGUGACGAAGCGUGAGUGACGGUAAUGGGUAAAGAAGCACCGGCUAACUACGUGCCAGCAGCCGCGGUGAUACGUAGGGUGCGAGCGUUGUCCGGAUUUAUUGGGCGUAAAGGGCUCGUAGGUGGUUGAUCGCGUCGGAAGUGUAAUCUUGGGACUUAACCCUGAGCGUGCUUUCGAUACGGGUUGACUUGAGGAAGGUAGGGGAGAAUGGAAUUCCUGGUGGAGCGGUGGAAUGCGCAGAUAUCAGGAGGAACACCAGUGGCGAAGGCGGUUCUCUGGGCCUUUCCUGACGCUGAGGAGCGAAAGCGUGGGGAGCGAACAGGCUUAGAUACCCUGGUAGUCCACGCUGUAAACGGUGGGUACUAGGUGUGGGGUCCAUUCCACGGGUUCCGUGCCGUAGCUAACGCUUUAAGUACCCCGCCUGGGGAGUACGGCCGCAAGGCUAAAACUCAAAGGAAUUGACGGGGCCCCGCACAAGCGGCGGAGCAUGCGGAUUAAUUCGAUGCAACGCGUAGAACCUUACCUGGGUUUGACAUGGAUCGGGAGUGCUCAGAGAUGGGUGUGCCUCUUUUGGGGUCGGUUCACAGGUGGUGCAUGGCUGUCGUCAGCUCGUGUCGUGAGAUGUUGGGUUAAGUCCCGCAACGAGCGCAACCCUUGUUCACUGUUGCCAGCACGUUAUGGUGGGGACUCAGUGGAGACCGCCGGGGUCAACUCGGAGGAAGGUGGGGAUGACGUCAAGUCAUCAUGCCCCUUAUGUCCAGGGCUUCACGCAUGCUACAAUGGCUGGUACAGAGAGUGGCGAGCCUGUGAGGGUGAGCGAAUCUCGGAAAGCCGGUCUCAGUUCGGAUUGGGGUCUGCAACUCGACCUCAUGAAGUCGGAGUCGCUAGUAAUCGCAGAUCAGCAACGCUGCGGUGAAUACGUUCCCGGG